AGUGAACGCUGGCGGUAGGCCUAACACAUGCAAGUCGAACGGCAGCACAGUAAGAGCUUGCUCUUACGGGUGGCGAGUGGCGGACGGGUGAGGAAUACAUCGGAAUCUACUUUUUCGUGGGGGAUAACGUAGGGAAACUUACGCUAAUACCGCAUACGACCUACGGUUGAAAGCAGGGGAUCUUCGGACCUUGCGCGAUUGAAUGAGCCGAUGUCGGAUUAGCUAGUUGGCGGGGUAAAGGCCCACCAAGGCGACGAUCCGUAGCUGGUCUGAGAGGAUGAUAAGCCACACUGGAACUGAGACACGGUCAAGACGCCUACGGGAGGCAGCAGUGGGGAAUAUUGGACAAAGGGCGCAAGCCUGAUCCAGCCAUACCGCGUGGGUGAAGAAGGCCUUCGGGUUGUAAAGCCCUUUUGUUGGGAAAGAAAAGCAGCAGGUUAAUACCCCGCUGUUCUGACGGUACCCAAAGAAUAAGCACCGGCUAACUUCGUG
rnacentral:rRNA from 1 species